rnacentral:rRNA from 1 species
UUUGUGAGGAAAGUAAUCUCGUAACAAGGUCUCCGUAGGUGAACCUGCGGAGGGAUCAUUACACAAAUAUGAAGGCGGGCUGGAAUCUCUCGGGGUUACAGCCUUGCUGAAUUAUUCACCCUUGUCUUUUGCGUACUUCUUGUUUCCUUGGUGGGUUCGCCCACCACUAGGACAAACAUAAACCUUUUGUAAUUGCAAUCAGCGUCAGUAACAAAUUAAUAAUUACAACUUUCAACAACGGAUCUCUUGGUUCUGGCAUCGAUGAAGAACGCAGCGAAAUGCGAUAAGUAGUGUGAAUUGCAGAAUUCAGUGAAUCAUCGAAUCUUUGAACGCACAUUGCGCCCUUUGGUAUUCCAAAGGGCAUGCCUGUUCGAGCGUCAUUUGUACCCUCAAGCUUUGCUUGGUGUUGGGCGUCUUGUCUCUAGCUUUGCUGGAGACUCGCCUUAAAGUAAUUGGCAGCCGGCCUACUGGUUUCGGAGCGCAGCACAAGUCGCACUCUCUAUCAGCAAAGGUCUAGCAUCCAUUAAGCCUUUUUUCAACUUUUGACCUCGGAUCAGGUAGGGAACCCCCAACC